AUUCCAGCUCCAAUAGCGUAUAUUAAAGUUGUUGCAGUUAAAAAGCUCGUAGUUGAAUUUCUGGUGGGAGUGUACAGUCCGACACUGAGUGUUGGUUCUUGUGUGUCUCCGGCCAUCCUUGGAGUGAAUCUGUCUGGCAUUUAGUUGUUGGGCAGAGUAUCUCCAUCGUUUACUGUGAGGAAAGGAAAGUGUUCAAAGCAGGCUUACGCCGUUGAAUCUUUUAGCAUGGAAUAAUAAGAUAGGAUCUUGAUACUAUUUUGUUGGUUUGUACUCCAAGGUAAUGAUUAAUAGGGACAGUUGGGGGUAUUCGUAUUCAAUUGUCAGAGGUGAAACUCUUGGAUUUAUUGAAGACGAACUACUGCGAAAGCAUUUACCAAGGAUGUUUUCAUUA
rnacentral:rRNA from 1 species